ACCAGCCCAAACCAAGAGGCUUGCCUCUUGGGGUUGUAGGACACUCUGUACGGAGUUACAAAGGAACGAGGUAGAUGAAGAGGUCUGGAAAGGCCCGCCAUAGGAGGUAACAGCCCUGUAGUCAAAACUUCGUUCUCUCCUGAGUGGAUCCUGAGUACGGCGGAACACGUGAAAUUCCGUCGGAAUCCGGGAGGACCAUCUCCCAAGGCUAAAUACUCCCUAGUGACCGAUAGUGAACCAGUACCGUGAGGGAAAGGUGAAAAGCACCCCGGAAGGGGAGUGAAAGAGAUCCUGAAACCGUGUGCCUACAAGUAGUCAGAGCCCGUUAACGGGUGAUGGCGUGCCUUUUGUAGAAUGAACCGGCGAGUUACGAUCCCGUGCAAGGUUAAGCAGAAGAUGCGGAGCCGCAGCGAAAGCGAGUCUGAAUAGGGCGAAUUGAGUACGUGGUCGUAGACCCGAAACCAGGUGAUCUACCCAUGUCCAGGGUGAAGUUCAGGUAACACUGAAUGGAGGCCCGAACCCACGCACGUUGAAAAGUGCGGGGAUGAGGUGUGGGUAGGGGUGAAAUGCCAAUCGAACCUGGAGAUAGCUGGUUCUCUCCGAAAUAGCUUUAGGGCUAGCCUCAAGGUAAGAGUCUCGGAGGUAGAGCACUGAUUGGACUAGGGGCCCCUACCGGGUUACCGAAUUCAGUCAAACUCCGAAUGCCGAUGACUUAUCCUUGGGAGUCAGACUGCGAGUGAUAAGAUCCGUAGUCGAAAGGGAAACAGCCCAGACCGCCAGCUAAGGUCCCAAAGUAUACGUUAAGUGGAAAAGGAUGUGGAGUUGCUUAGACAACCAGGAUGUUGGCUUAGAAGCAGCCACCAUUUAAAGAGUGCGUAAUAGCUCACUGGUCGAGUGACUCUGCGCCGAAAAUGUACCGGGGCUAAACGUAUCACCGAAGCUGCGGACUGUUCUUCGAACAGUGGUAGGAGAGCGUUCUAAGGGCUGUGAAGCAAGACCGGAAGGACUUGUGGAGCGCUUAGAAGUGAGAAUGCCGGUAUGAGUAGCGAAAGAGGGGUGAGAAUCCCCUCCACCGAAUGCCUAAGGUUUCCUGAGGAAGGCUCGUCCGCUCAGGGUUAGUCGGGACCUAAGCCGAGGCCGAAAGGCGUAGGCGAUGGAUAACAGGUUGAUAUUCCUGUACCACCUCCUCACCAUUUGAGCAAUGGGGGGACGCAGGAGGAUAGGGUAAGCGCGGUAUUGGAUAUCCGCGUCCAAGCAGUUAGGCUGGGAAAUAGGCAAAUCCGUUUCCCGUGAAGGCUGAGCUGUGAUGGCGAGCGAAUUAUAGUAGCGAAGUUCCUGAUUCCACACUGCCAAGAAAAGCCUCUAGCGAGGUGAGAGGUGCCCGUACCGCAAACCGACACAGGUAGGCGAGGAGAGAAUCCUAAGGUGAUCGAGAGAACUCUCGUUAAGGAACUCGGCAAAAUGACCCCGUAACUUCGGGAGAAGGGGUGCUCUGUUAGGGUGCAAGCCCGAGAGAGCCGCAGUGAAUAGGCCCAGGCGACUGUUUAGCAAAAACACAGGUCUCUGCGAAGCCGUAAGGCGAAGUAUAGGGGCUGACGCCUGCCCGGUGCUGGAAGGUUAAGAGGAGCGCUUAGCGUAAGCGAAGGUGCGAAUUGAAGCCCCAGUAAACGGCGGCCGUAACUAUAACGGUCCUAAGGUAGCGAAAUUCCUUGUCGGGUAAGUUCCGACCCGCACGAAAGGCGCAACGAUCUGGGCACUGUCUCAACGAGAGACUCGGUGAAAUUAUAGUACCUGUGAAGAUGCAGGUUACCCGCGACAGGACGGAAAGACCCCGUGGAGCUUUACUGCAGCCUGAUAUUGAAUGUUGGUACAGCUUGUACAGGAUAGGUAGGAGCCUUGGAAACCGGAGCGCCAGCUUCGGUGGAGGCAUCGGUGGGAUACUACCCUGGCUGUAUUGACCUUCUAACCCGCCGCCCUUAUCGGGCGGGGAGACAGUGUCAGGUGGGCAGUUUGACUGGGGCGGUCGCCUCCUAAAAGGUAACGGAGGCGCCCAAAGGUUCCCUCAGAAUGGUUGGAAAUCAUUCGCAGAGUGUAAAGGCACAAGGGAGCUUGACUGCGAGACCUACAAGUCGAGCAGGGACGAAAGUCGGGCUUAGUGAUCCGGUGGUUCCGCAUGGAAGGGCCAUCGCUCAACGGAUAAAAGCUACCCCGGGGAUAACAGGCUUAUCUCCCCCAAGAGUCCACAUCGACGGGGAGGUUUGGCACCUCGAUGUCGGCUCAUCGCAUCCUGGGGCUGUAGUCGGUCCCAAGGGUUGGGCUGUUCGCCCAUUAAAGCGGUACGCGAGCUGGGUUCAGAACGUCGUGAGACAGUUCGGUCCCUAUCCGUCGCGGGCGCAGGAAAUUUGAGAGGAGCUGUCCUUAGUACGAGAGGACCGGGAUGGACGCACCGCUGGUGUACCAGUUGUUCUGCCAAGGGCAUCGCUGGGUAGCUAUGUGCGGACGGGAUAAGUGCUGAAAGCAUCUAAGCAUGAAGCCCCCCUCAAGAUGAGAUUUCCCAUUCCGCAAGGAAGUAAGAUCCCUGAAAGAUGAUCAGGUUGAUAGGUCUGAGGUGGAAGUGUGGCGACACAUGGAGCUGACAGAUACUAAUCGAUCGAGGACUUAACCAAUUUGAAUGUAUGCUUACUGUUAUCUAGUUUUGAGAGAA
rnacentral:rRNA from 1 species